AAUCAACGCUGGCGGCGUGCCUAACACAUGCAAGUCGAGGGGCAGCGAUAGGUGGCAACACCGAGUCGGCGACCGGCGCACGGGUGAGUAACGCGUAUGCAACCUACCCAUCAGCGGGGGAUAACCCGUCGAAAGACGGACUAAUACCGCAUAAAACAGGGGUUCCGCAUGGAAAUAUUUGUUAAAGAUUUAUUGCUGAUGGAUGGGCAUGCGUUCUAUUAGGCAGUUGGCGGGGUAACGGCCCACCAAACCGACGAUAGAUAGGGGUUCUGAGAGGAAGGUCCCCCACAUUGGUACUGAGACACGGACCAAACUCCUACGGGAGGCAGCAGUGAGGAAUAUUGGUCAAUGGGCGAGAGCCUGAACCAGCCAAGUCGCGUGAAGGAUGAAGGUUCUAUGGAUUGUAAAACUUCUUUUAUGGGGAAUAAAAGUGCAGGACGUGUCCUGUUUUGUAUGUACCUCAUGAAUAAGCAUCGGCUAACUCCGUGCCAGCAGCCGCCGUAAU
rnacentral:rRNA from 1 species